CGUCCAUACCAUGUUGAAUACACCGGUUCUCGUCCGAUCACCGAAGUCAAGCAACAUCGGGCGUGGUCAGUAAUUGCUCAGAACGCCUGGUUACAUCUAGCCAGACGAAAAAG
rnacentral:rRNA from 1 species